CACAGACAACCAGGAUGUUGGCUUAGAAGCAGCCACUCAUUCAAAGAGUGCGUAAUAGCUCACUGGUCGAGUGAUCCUGCGCCGAAGAUUUCCGGGGCUAAAACUUACUACCGAAGCUACGGCAUCAUUAUGAUGGGUAGGGGAGCUUCCCAUACGGGUUGAAGCAUGACCGUAAGGACAUGUGGACAGUAUGGGAGUGAGAAUGUUGG
rnacentral:rRNA from 1 species